CACACACACACAGCAGUGUGUGUAUGUGUGUUGUGUAUAUAUGUGUAUGUAUAUAUAUAUAUAUAUAUAUAUAUAUAUAUAUAUAUACAUACAUACAUACAUAUAUAUAUGCGGCGUGUGCUUG
rnacentral:miRNA from 1 species